rnacentral:rRNA from 1 species
UACGGGGGGAGCAAGCGUUGUUCGGAUUUACUGGGCGUAAAGGGCGCGUAGGCGGUCGUGACAAGUCACUUGUGAAAUCUCCGGGCUUAACUCGGAACGGUCAAGUGAUACUGUCGGACUAGAGUACAGAAGGGGCAACUGGAAUUCUCGGUGUAGCGGUGAAAUGCGUAGAUAUCGGGAGGAACACCUAUGGCGAAGGCAGCUCGCUGGGACGUUACUGACGCUGGAGACGCGAAAGCGUGGGGAGCAAACAGG